GCCUUCAGCAGGACAGGAAUGUUGUAUAGAUACUGACAGGAAAGUGACACUGCCUGGGGAGCUUGGUGACUCACUCUGUAUCAUUCAAAUAUAUGAUGUGAAGAAAUGCAGCAUGACAUGAUUCAGAGUGAAGCCACUGAAACAGUGUUUUUGGCCAGAAUUGUUGGAUGAAUGGCUGAAGAGGGAACAUCUGUACUUACUCAGAGACCUGCACUUCUCUGGAUGACAGAAUCCUGUUGCUCAGCUCAUGAAGCCAUGGCAGCACCACGGCCGGCACUCUCCCCACCAGGCAGCUCAGCGUGAACGAGGCUUGUCAUCACCUUCACUGUGAGACAGCUGUGACUAAACAGCUGUCUCACAGUGGACGGCAGAAGCAGCUGCAGAGCCAGAAGAGAGUGAGCCACAGCACCACCAGUGUCUACACCACCAGUGUCUACACCACCAGUGUCCACACCACCAGUGUCUACACCCUGUCCAUGCUGGAGGAUCUCUGGAUCUCUGCUCUUUGUCUUUGUGUAAACUCGUCUGUGAGUGGGGCUCCAGCUAGCAGACUAUUGGACCUAACAACAAGCAGUCAUCUGACCGGAUCUGCAUACUGGUGACAAUAUCUGCACUAUUUCUAUAUUCUUCUUAUUUAUGGGACUCAUUAUUCAUGUUAAUUAACACGUGAUCUAAAACUG